rnacentral:miRNA from 1 species
UUCAAGGCAAGUUUUUUCUUGA